rnacentral:rRNA from 1 species
UGGUGGAGCGAUUUGUCUGGUUAAUUCCGAUAACGAACGAGACUCUGGCCUAUUAAAUAGUUCGCCGAUUCCGAUCUGUCGGCGUUAACUUCUUAGGGGGACAAGUGGCUUUUAGCCACGCGAGAUUGAGCAAUAACA